ensembl:misc_RNA Metazoa_SRP Metazoan signal recognition particle RNA
GCCAGGUGUGGUGGCAAGUGCCUGUAGUCCCAGCUUCUUGGGAAGCUGAGGUGGGAGGAUCGCUUGAGCCCAGGAGUUCUGGGCUAUAGUGCGCUAUGCCAAUUGGGUGUCCGCACUAAGUUUGGCAUCAAUAUGGUGACCUCCCGGGAGCGGGGGACCACCAGGUUGCCUAAGGAGGAGUGAAUGGACCAAAGUCAGAAACAGAGCAGGUCAAAACUCCCGUGCUGAUCAGUAGUGGGAUCGCACCUGUGAAUAGCCACUGUACUCCAGCCUGGGCAAUAUAGUGAGACCCCAUCUCUU